rnacentral:rRNA from 1 species
UACGUAGGGUGCAAGCGUUAAUCGGAAUUACUGGGCGUAAAGCGUGCGCAGGCGGUUAUGUAAGACAGAUGUGAAAUGCCCGGGCUUAACCUGGGAACUGCAUUUGUGACUGCAUGGCUAGAGUUUGGCAGAGGGGGGUAGAAUUCCACGUGUAGCAGUGAAAUGCGUAGAUAUGUGGAGGAACACCGAUGGCGAAGGCAGCCCCCUGGGUCAAGACUGACGCUCAUGCACGAAAG